rnacentral:tRNA from 1 species
GGGCGCUUAGCUCAGUGGUAGAGCGUUCGCUUCACACGCGAAAGGCCGCAGGUCCAAUCCCUGCAGCGCCCACCA